rnacentral:lncRNA from 1 species
AAGCAUUCCGGAGCCUGGAAAUUGCUAAUUGAUGCACCCGUGCAUCGGAGGGCACGUAAAGUAAAGGCAAGUAAAGGUCCUUUAGUAUGUUAGGUCCUGCUUGUGAUCUCUCUCCGGUCGUGUCGCAUUGCCGUCCCAUCGGACUACGACAAUGAAAGAAUAAUGAGUGCACCUGUGUCAGCGCGAAUGCUUGUUCACUAUAGUAUGUCCUGCGCAGUUGGCUAAUCUCCUUACAUGAGAACAGCCGUCGUAGCUGGUAAUCGGCUAAGAGGACAUCUUAGCUAGUAAAUAGGAAUAAUAUCAAUCACAUGUUAGCUUUUUAGGUGUCUGUUUCUUACCUUAUUGCGUAGCCAUAGCAAUUAAUUUCCUACCUUGGAAAAUAGCUUCAAAAUAGCACGCUGUUGUUAUUUAUCGCUUACUUUUUGCUUAUCUGACUUACUUUGACUUAGAGUCCUAUGUCCCCUAGAUAGGGCAGAGGGCAUCCACAGUGCUCCGCCAUCGCGUUCGGUCUUGAGCUUUGCGCUUUAUUUCGCUCCACGUUCUGCCUAUAGUCGCCGCCUCUGCAAUGAUCGACCGCCGCCAGGAUUGUUUGGGGCGGCCACGUUUCCGCUUCCCUUGGGGAUUCCAGUCUAGGGCUUGCCUCGGGAUGUGAUCGGGGUCCCUUCGGAGCGUGUGGCCGAUCCAGUUCCACUUGCGUCGUUUGAUCUGCUGGUCGAUCGGUGUCUCUCCGCAGCGUUCCCACAGUUCUAUGUUGGAUCUUUUCUCGGGCCAGUAUAUACCGAGAAUACGACGAAGGCAACGAUUGACGAAGACCUGGAGCUUACGCUUAAGCUUUUGCUUAUCUACUUGCUCUAUUUACUUACAUUGAGUUGCUCAGCUUUACAUUGUGCGUCAGACUUUACAUUUGCUGGUAGACUGUACCUAAUCUACUCGAAUAACCAUUUAGUAAUUUCAUCGUGUUCAGAUGUACCUACGAUGGAUACGGGUUGAUUCGGAAUAAACCCAUGUAAAGCCUGUGUGAUGGCAUAAGGGUCGCCGGGAACAGACCUGAGUAAAAUCUGUGGUACAGUUGGUGUCAUGUCACUGUGGUUGUGAUCGUGUACCCUACAAGGCCGGAAUAGGCUGUUGGCACUGUCAAGGGACACACCGACGGUGAAAAUCCUGAGUAGAAGGUUUGAUGUGAAUUAAACGACAGCCGUAGUUGUGACGGUUCCUGUAAUUAACGUGUUGAAAGUCUAACUACCAAAAAGAGCAGAAGCCACAAAGUCUGAUAACUAGUCUUGCUGAAGUGUGACUGGUUGCAGGUUGUAGGUAAUUGUGUUGAGAAAUCGCUCCCAUUACAUUCGGUUAGAAUGAAAGUCAAUCCAAACUUAUUGAGAGAAGGCUAGGACUGGGCUGGAUGUAGUUAGUUAACUUAAGCUCUCAUCUCUAACAAUAACGGAUGGUAAGUCUGAAGUCUAAUGUUUGGUUACCGAUGCGCAUGUUUGUCUUAUCACUACAGAUGUUGAUGGCCGAGGCUGAAGGAGAGAAGGUGAUCAACUACGUACGCUAACGCCGUGUGAGCUGAUGGCUCGCAGCUGCGGUUGCUGACACGCGCUGUUGCAAGCCAGGAUACCGUGCGAUUCUGCGGUGGUAAAGGCGAACCAACAGUGAACUGUCAAUUCGACACUUUACGAGUUUUCCCUAUGCUAGUUAAUCAGUGCUACUUACACGAGGACGUGUAAAGCGCAGGAUGGCCGUGUCGGCGCGGCCCACAGCGCGGCCCAAUAUUGCUGGCUGGUUCCUUGUUUGUGGUCGUCUUGGUGACGUGAGGUGCCAACGUCAAUUGAAAUAAUCUUAAAUGGAAUCUCGAAGAGAAACCAAGUUCAGGCUAUGUGAUCUUGGAAAUGUAUCCGAUUUAUUGUAACCAAUGUGAUUAUUGAAGUACUGAACGAUAAUAGACGAUGUGAACGACUACUGUGGUAUUAUUUCAUAUCCUGACAAGAUGCAAGUGUAUCAAAAGAUUCUAACCACUUCUGGUGCUCCGACAUAUAUAUUUAUCAAUUCAACACAUUAUUUCAAGGAGCGACUUUUAACUUGUGCUCAUGGCCAAGACAAUAUUAUUGUAAUGUGAACAAAACUAUUGAUAUUAUAGUCACAAAAUAUUGAUUUAUUAUUACAAAUAAUGUUGAACAGGACUUGGCUUCUAUGCGAUCUCAAAACUUUUUACGGUGGAGGAAUUGCGUAGAGGAUUGGCUUUUUUUUUACAUUCAAUGUUUUUGGUGGGAUCUAAUUUAUUUUUUGUAGGUCUCUUUCUUCUCUAAGUAUAUAACAAAUUAAAU